rnacentral:rRNA from 1 species
CAGACCCGGAAAAGUACCCUGAG